AGGUAGUAAUUAAACCUAUUUAUUUUGGCGGCUUCAACAAUAUUAGAGGAACUUGUUUAUUAAUGGAUAAUACUCAAUAAUUUUCACUUCAAUAUAUAAUUUAUAUAUCGCCAUCUUAAGAAUUAAUUACAAUAUUUCCUCUAAAUAAAAACUAAAAAGUUAGGUCAAGGUGUAAUCAAUAUUAAAGAUAAAAUUAGUUACACUAAAUAAUAUUUAAGGAUUUAUAUUAAAAUAUAUAAUAAAAAAGAAUUUAUAAGUAUUAAUAUAAUAAUAAUAUUUUUCGAAAUUAUAUCAUAAGUGC
rnacentral:rRNA from 1 species